UACGUAGGGAGCAAGCGUUGUUCGGAUUUACUGGGCGUAAAGGGCGCGUAGGCGGCGCGGUAAGUCACUUGUGAAAUCUCUGAGCUUAACUCAGAACGGCCAAGUGAUACUGCAGUGCUAGAGUGUGGAAGGGGCAAUCGGAAUUCUUGGUGUAGCGGUGAAAUGCGUAGAUAUCAAGAGGAACACCUGCGGCGAAGGCGGGUUGCUGGGCUGACACUGACGCUGACAGCGCGAAAGCUAGGGGAGCGAACGGG
rnacentral:rRNA from 1 species